AUCUGUGCCAAGUCCUCCUGAUGU
rnacentral:siRNA from 1 species